rnacentral:rRNA from 1 species
GAACGAACGCUGGCGGCGCGUUUUAAGCAUGCAAGUCGGACGGCAAGCACUGUAGCAAUAUGGUGCCUAGAGUGGCGAACGGGUGAGUAACACGUAGGUGAUCUGCCUUUGGAUGGGGGAUAGCCCGUGGAAACACGGGGUAAUACCGCAUGAGGCCUUGGGGGUAAAGCCCUGAGGUGAAAGGUGCAAUUGCACCGUCUGGGGAUGAGCCUGCGGUCCAUUAGUUAGUUGGCGGGGUAAGAGCCCACCAAGACGACGAUGGAUAGCCGGCCUGAGAGGGUGUACGGCCACACUGGAACUGAGACACGGUCCAGACUCCUACGGGAGGCAGCAGCUAAGAAUCUUCCGCAAUGGGGGCAACCCUGACGGAGCGACGCCGCGUGGAUGAUGAAGGCCGUAAGGUUGUAAAAUCCUUUUGUCGGUGAAGAAUAAGGAGGGGAGUGGAAAGCCCCUCUGAUGACGUUAGCCGGCGAAUAAGCCCCGGCCAAUUACGUGCCAGCAGCCGCGGUAAUACGUAUGGGGCAAGCGUUGUUCGGAGUUAUUGGGCGUAAAGGGCGUGUAGGCGGCUCAUCAAGUCUGGUGUGAAAUCGCAAGGCUCAACCUUGCAUAUGCGCUGGAAACUGGUGGGCUUGAGUUCUUGAGGGGAAGCUGGAAUUCCAGGUGUAGGGGUGAAAUCUGUAGAUAUCUGGAAGAACACCGGUGGCGAAGGCGAGCUUCUAUCAGAGGACUGACGCUGAGGCGCGAAAGCGUGGGGAGCAAACAGGAUUAGAUACCCUGGUAGUCCACGCUGUAAACGAUGUGCACUAGGCGUGGGGCCCGUACGGGUUCUGUGCCGUAGUUAACGUGAUAAGUGCACCGCCUGGGGAGUA